CCUACGGGAGGCAGCAGUGGGGAAUAUUGGACAAUGGGCGAAAGCCUGAUCCAGCCAUGCCGCGUGUGUGAAGAAGGCCUUCGGGUUGUAAAGCACUUUCAGUGGGGAAGAAAGCCUUGGGGCUAAUACCCUCGAGGAAGGACAUCACCCACAGAAGAAGCACCGGCUAACUCCGUGCCAGCAGCCGCGGUAAUACGGAGGGUGCGAGCGUUAAUCGGAAUUACUGGGCGUAAAGCGCGCGUAGGCGGUCUGAUAAGCCGGUUGUGAAAGCCCCGGGCUCAACCUGGGAACGGCAUCCGGAACUGUCAGGCUAGAGUGCAGGAGAGGAAGGUAGAAUUCCCGGUGUAGCGGUGAAAUGCGUAGAGAUCGGGAGGAAUACCAGUGGCGAAGGCGGCCUUCUGGACUGACACUGACGCUGAGGUGCGAAAGCGUGGGUAGCAAACAGGAUUAGAUACCCUAGUAGU
rnacentral:rRNA from 1 species